GAUGAAGAACGUAGCGAAAUGCGAUAAGUAAUGUGAAUUGCAGAAUUCAGUGAAUCAUCGAAUCUUUGAACGCACCUUGCGCCCUUUGGCUAUUCUGAAGGGCAUGCCUGUUUGAGUAUCAUGAACACCUCAACUCUCAUGGUUUGCCAUGAUGAGCUUGGACUUUGGGGGUCUUGCUGGCCUACGGUCAGCUCCUCUCAAAUGAAUCAGCUUGCCAGUGUUUGGUAGAGUCGCAGGUGUGAUAACUAUCUACGCUUGUGGUUUUCUGCCAGAUAACCUUCAGUGAUGGAGGUUCGCUGGGGCUUAUAAAUGUCUCUCCCCAGUGAGGACAGCUUUUUGAACGUUUGAUCUCAAAUCAGGUAGGACUACCCGCUGAACUUAAGCAUAUCAAUAAGCGGAGGA
rnacentral:misc_RNA from 1 species